UGGGGAAUAUUGCACAAUGGGGGGAACCCUGAUGCAGCGACGCCGCGUGGGUGAAGGAGUACUUCGGUACGUAAAGCCCUAUCAGCAGGAAAGAAAAUGACGGUACCUGACUAAGAAGCCCCGGCUAACUACGUGCC
rnacentral:rRNA from 1 species